rnacentral:misc_RNA from 2 species
AACGCACCUUGCACUCUCUGGUAUUCCGGAGAGUAUGUCUGUUUGAGUGUCGUGAACCUCUCAACCCCGCCAGGUUUUUACCGACUUGGUUGCUGGGCUUGGAACUUGAGCGCCUGUCCUCUCACAAGGGACUCGUUCGAAAUACAAAUCGAGCUGUAUUGCAAAUGCGGUUUGAAUCUUGGCGUGAUAAGACCUCUUUUCGCCUUGAUGACGCGUUAGCUGAGCUUCAGUUAAUAACACACUUUUGAAGUCGAAUCAAUAGACCUCAGAUCAGACAGGACUACCCGCUGAACUUAA